CCUACGGGAGGCAGCAGUGGGGAAUAUUGGGCAAUGGGCGCAAGCCUGACCCAGCAACGCCGCGUGAAGGAAGAAGGCUUUCGGGUUGUAAACUUCUUUUAAGAGGGAAGAGCAGAAGACGGUACCUCUUGAAUAAGCCACGGCUAACUACGUGCCAGCAGCCGCGGUAAUACGUAGGUGGCAAGCGUUGUCCGGAUUUACUGGGUGUAAAGGGCGUGCAGCCGGGAAGACAAGUCAGAUGUGAAAGCCCGCGGCUCAACCGCGGAACUGCAUUUGAAACUGUUUUUCUUGAGUACCGGAGAGGUCAUCGGAAUUCCUUGUGUAGCGGUGAAAUGCGUAGAUAUAAGGAAGAACACCAGUGGCGAAGGCGGAUGACUGGACGGCAACUGACGGUGAGGCGCGAAAGCGUGGGGAGCAAACAGGAUUAGAUACCCUAGUAUC
rnacentral:rRNA from 1 species